GACGAACGCUGGCGGCGUGCUUAACACAUGCAAGUCGAACGGAAAGGCCCUGCUUUUGUGGGGUGCUCGAGUGGCGAACGGGUGAGUAACACGUGAGUAACCUGCCCUUGACUUUGGGAUAACUUCAGGAAACUGGGGCUAAUACCGGAUAGGAGCUCCUGCUGCAUGGUGGGGGUUGGAAAGUUUCGGCGGUUGGGGAUGGACUCGCGGCUUAUCAGCUUGUUGGUGGGGUAGUGGCUUACCAAGGCUUUGACGGGUAGCCGGCCUGAGAGGGUGACCGGCCACAUUGGGACUGAGAUACGGCCCGGACUCCUACGGGAGGCAGCAGUGGGGAAUAUUGCACAAUGGGCGGAAGCCUGAUGCAGCAACGCCGCGUGCGGGAUGACGGCCUUCGGGUUGUAAACCGCUUUCGCCUGUGACGAAGCGUGAGUGACGGUAAUGGGUAAAGAAGCACCGGCUAACUACGU
rnacentral:rRNA from 1 species